CUCAACCUGGGUGUUGUGACUGCAGAGUGAGUGUACCUUUCUACGCUGAGCACCAGUGGCAUCUGGCAACUUGCUUCUAAAUUACACGAGGUCAGCAACUACCUACUCAACAAUGUAGGGGAGGCACAGGCGAAAGCAAGACAGGGAGGGGCUUGGGUGUCAGGUCUCACAAAGCACUGAGGAUUCUGACUGGGGCUGAGGCUGGAAGUAGGCGCUGUGUUGCCUGGAAACUUAACCUGGGUGUUAUGAUGUGGGGCCAAAGUGGAUAAAGGGGUAAGAGGGAAGGAGGAGCUGCACGCCACCCCUGAGUCCCUGAGAGGUGACCCUGCUGCGAGAGGCUCUGCGGAGUGACACUCCACCUGGGAGUCCAGUAAGAACUGUCACUAGGCCCGGGAAUCCUCCGUGCUGGUGCUCAGGUCGAGUGUGUGUGUGGCCCUGAGCGCUGUUCCUGGCACCACAUUAAAAUGGACACCAAAAACACAGGUAGUGAAAGCAAGACAUAGCUGAGUGAAGAGGCACCCUGUGGAACAGAGGGGACUAUCUUCAAAUUGUAUAUCUGAUAAGGGAUUAACAUCCAAGAAAGAUAAGGUACUUCUAUAACUCAGCAGCAAAAACUGAACAAUCUGAUGAAAGAACAGGCAAAGGAACCUAGGCAGACAUUCCUCAAGAGGACAAACAGGUGGCCAAAAGGAUGACAACCAUGACUUUUAACCUGUACAAGGUGGAGAACUUUUGUGAGAAUCAUAUUGAGAAAAUGCACGGUGAAGGUCACUCAAUAGUAAGUGUUCCACAAAUGACAACUACUGGUAUGAUUUGGACUGAGGUGGCCAGGAGACUUUCUCCUCCAUGGAAACAGCAGAAGGGAGCACCAAGUCUUCACGCUAUCUGCGUGACUAGCAGAGAAGAUGAAGCUAGAAUGCAGUUUAAAUGCAAGCAGUACUCAAAUGGUAACAAACACACUCUCUCCUGCACUAAGGCCACCAAAGAAGACAUCAUGUUACUUCUUACAGAGCGCAUUCCUUGAUCUGGUCCUUUCUUUAGAGACCGUUUUAAUGCUAUUUGUAGGAACUAUGGGUAUACUGACAAUUUCCUCAGUUUAAUUUCCAACAAGGGAAGGACCAUAUCUUACAACUGAUGUGGUCCCUGGCCCCAGAGAGUUGUUCAAUAAGUACUUUUAGUUGAAUCAAAACAAUGAACUUAACCCUGAUUUCCAGGGCAGAGUAAUGGAAAAUAGCACAUGUGCUACAAAUAAUGCCAAGGCAAUAUUCCUUCCAGCAUUUUCAUAAGUAUGGUUA